rnacentral:rRNA from 1 species
GAGUUUGAUUAUGGCUCAGAUUGAACGCUGGCGGCAGGCUUAACACAUGCAAGUCGAACGGUAGCAGGAGAAAGCUUGCUUUCUUGCUGACGAGUGGCGGACGGGUGAGUAAUGCUUGGGAAUCUGGCUUAUGGAGGGGGAUAACUACUGGAAACGGUAGCUAAUACCGCGUAAUAUCGAGAGAUUAAAGACUGGGACCUACGGGCCAGUUGCCAUAAGACGAGCCCAAGUGGGAUUAGGUAGUUGGUGGGGUAAAGGCCUACCAAGCCCGCGAUCUCUAGCUGGUCUGAGAGGAUGACCAGCCACACUGGAACUGAGACACGGUCCAGACUCCUACGGGAGGCAGCAGUGGGGAAUAUUGCACAAUGGGGGGAACCCUGAUGCAGCCAUGCCGCGUGAAUGAAGAAGGCCUUCGGGUUGUAAAGUUCUUUCGGUGGUGAGGAAGGUAUCAACUUUAAUAGAGUUGGUAAU